rnacentral:rRNA from 1 species
ACGGGUGCGUAACACGUAGGUGACCUGCCCUAAAGUGGGGAAUAACUCCGCUAACGCGGAGCUAAUACCGCAUGUGGUUACUCAUUCAUUUGGGUAACUAAAGUCGUGAGAUGCUUUAGGAUGGGCCUGCGGCGGAUUAGCUGGUUGGUGGGGUAACGGCCUACCAAGGCGAUGAUCCGUAGGGGGCGUGAGAGCGUGACCCCCCACAUUGGCACUGAGACACGGGCCAAACUCCUACGGGAGGCAGCAGUGAGGAAUAUUGCACAAUGGGCGAAAGCCUGAUGCAGCAACGCCGCGUGAGGGACGAAGGCCUUCGGGUCGUAAACCUCUUUUCUGAGGGACGAGACAAGGACGGUACCUCAGGAAUAAGUCUCGGCUAACUACGUGCCAGCAGCCGCGGUAAAACGUAGGAGGCGAGCGUUAUCCGGAUUUACUGGGCGUAAAGCGCGCGCAGGCGGCUUGGUAAGUUGGACGUGAAAGCUCCUGGCUUAACUGGGAGAGGCCGUUCGAAACUGCCAGGCUUGAGGUUGGGAGAGGGGUGCGGAAUUCCCGGUGUAGUGGUGGAAUGCGUAGA